GGCGAUUCCUGUGGAUCUUGUUGUCAUUGGUUCCUUGCACAAAUUUUCCCUUUGAGCUCACCAACUCAUUUUUCUGUCCAUUCAGUUCAUCUUCGUUCAUGUUCAAAGCCAUCUGGGAGUUGUGAUCACUCUCAAAUUCUUUACCCUUCUUCAAAUAAUCUUUAUGUCUUUUCUCAUUAACCCUGGAGUUAUCUGAAGCAAUAGGAGCACGAUCUUCACGUGAGUUCACCCUGUCAUGCCUUGCUCUUCUUUCAUCCUCACGUGUCCUCAGCCUCGAUGGACUUUCAUUUUCAACACGAUCCCUCCUUCUAAUAUGGUCAGCAUGCCUCACAUCUUUCGAGUGCUGAUCAGAGUUUCUAUACUCAUCUUUCCCUCUAGAUUGAGCAGCCCAAGCUUUUUCUUCCGGAACACGUCCAGCCCGCAUCCCGCCCCUUAUUUCUUCUCUCUCCCUUUUUGGUAGUGUCUCUUCAUGUGACUGUUUGAGCCUAUACCACUCCUCACGUUCUCGCUGUCUAUCAUUCCUCUCCCUCUGAAACACUCCAUCUUCUUUGUGCCUGAUAUAGAGCUGCUCAUCUUCUCGUAGUCUCAUCAGCUCAUCUCUCUUUCGGUGAUCUGAGGCAUCAUCUCUCUCUCGCUUUCUGCGAACCAUAGUUUCUCCAUGGGAAUGGAAUGUUUCUUCCUUGUCAAUGUGUUCCCUACUUAAUUUCACCUCUUCUUUCCUUCUUUUAUUGUGGCGAUCAUCCAAGGUAUCGUACCUCUUCAACUCAUCCCUCUCUCUAUGCCUUGCUCCCAUAUCCUUAUCAUAAUCAGGCCUUAAAGUAACGUUCUCCAGCUGUUUUCUGUAUAAAUGGCGUUCUUCUCUAUCACUUCCCUCAAAUUCUCGAGCCUUGCUGCGGUGUCUAAUUCCAAUUUC
rnacentral:misc_RNA from 1 species